UGGUAACAGCAGUAGGUCCCCUGGCUGUAGGUAGCAGGUCCUCAACUGAUCUCAAUAAGAAUGAAGAUAUCCAUUGGAGAAUUCUUCAUGUUCUUUUGGCUGCAGCUGGACUGUGUCAGCCAAGGAGGGGAAGUGAAUCAGCAUCCUCCUACCCUGAGUGUCGAGGAAGGAAAUACCUUUGUCAUCACCUGUUCAUACUCAGACAGUAUUUUAAGCUACUUUCCAUGGUAUAAGCAAGAAGCUGGAAGAGGUCCCCAACUUAUUAUAGGCAUUCGUUCAAAUGAGAAUGAAAAGCAGCAUGAAAGACUUACUGUUUUAUUGGAUAAGACAGCCAGAAAUUUCUCCCUGCACAUCAAAAACUCCCAGCCUGGAGACUCAGCUGUGUACUUCUGUGCAGCAAGUACACAUUGCUUCUUCAGCACCUACAACCUGUAUGCAAACUUGAAAAUGCAGCACCCCUCACCCCCACCACCUUGGGACAGUCCUAGAAGUAUAGCAUGUCAUUUUGCUUGUCUGCAAGUGGAAACUAAUGUGUUGUAUGUUAAAAACACAUAAUAAGAAGGUUAGUUUCAAGAUGACCAGAAAAUGUUUGAACAUUCUGUUGAUGACUGUUGUGUAAUGGAUUGUUGAAGGGACUUAGUAAUGUUUUAUUUUGAAAUCAAGGUUUAAAGGCUACUUUACACUUGAUAUUUAGAUAACCCUUCUAUA